rnacentral:lncRNA from 1 species
AUGACUGAGCUGAAGGCGAAGGGUCCCCGCGCUGCCCACGUGGCAGGCACAGCGCCCUCGCCUACCCAAGUCGGAGCCCCUCUGCGGGGACGCCCAGACGCGGGCUCCUUCCAGGCGGGCGAGGCCUCGGGCCCGACCCCCACAGCCUCGGGCCUCCCCCUCUCCCUGGACGGGCUGAUCUUCCCUCAGCCCUGCCAGGCUCAGGACCUGGACGGGAAGACGCUCGACCCAGAGUCGCUGGCAGGCGUGGAGGGGGCGUAUUCCAGAGGGGAAGCCGCAGAGGGCGCUGCUGUGAGACCCCCAGAGAAGGACGGCGGAUUGCUGGACAGCGUCCUGGACACCCUGCUGGCGCCCCCAGGCCCUGAGCAGAGCCCCGCCAGCCCCGCCGUCUGCGAGGCCCCCAGCCCUUGGUGCCUCUUUGGCCCUGAGCUUGCCCAAGACGCCCGGGCUGCGCCCGCCGCCCAGGGGGUCCUGCCUACACUCAUGAGCCGCCCGGAGAGCAAGGCUGGCGACACCCCCGGGGUGGCCGCCGGCCAGAAGGUGCUGCCCCGGGGCCUGGCGCCGUGCCGGCAGCUGCUGGCCCCGACGGCCUCGAGCCACCCCUGGCCCGCGCCCGCGCCGAGGCCGUCUCCGCAGCCCGCGGUGGUGGAGCUGGAGGAGGACGACUCGGAUCCCGAGGGCUCCUCGGGGCCGCCCCUGAAGGGCAAAGCCCGGCCCGCGGGAGGAGACGCGAUCAGCGCUCCUGGGACCGCCGCGGGAGGCGUCGCCCCGGUGCCCAAAGAAGAUGCCCGCUUCUCGGCGCCCAGGGCCGCCCCGACGGAGCAUGACGCGCCCGCCGCGCCCGGGCGCGCCCCGGUGGCCACCGCGGUGAUGGACUUCAUCCACGUGCCCAUCCUGCCGCUCAACUCGGCCUUCCUGGCCGCCCGCACCCGGCAGCUGCUGGAGGGCGACAGCUAUGACAGCGGGCCCGCCGGCGCCUUCGCCCCGCCGCGGGGCUCGCCCUCCGCCUCGGCCGCCCCGGGCGCGCCUGGCGACUUCCCCGACUGCGCGUACCAGCCCGAAGCCGAGCCCAAGGACGACGCGUUCUCGCUCUACGGGGACCCGCAGCCGCCCGCCCUGAAGAUCAAGGAGGAGGAGGAGGGGGGCGCCGAGGCCGCCGCGCGCUCCCCGCGGCCGUACCUGCUGGCGGGGGCCAGCCCCGCCGUCUUCGCCGACUUCCCGCUGGCGCCGCCGUCCAGGCUGGGGGAGGUGGCGGUGCCCGCGGCCGCCACGGGGGCCCCAGGCUCGUCCGCGGCCGCGUCGGGGUCCGCCCUGGAGUGCGUCCUGUACAAGGCGGAGGGCGCGCCCCCCCAGCCGGGCCCGUUCGCGCCGCCGCCCUGCAAGGCUCCGGCCGCGGGCGCCUGCUUCCUGCCGCGGGACCUGCCGUCCACCUCGUCCGCUGCCGCCGCCGGGGCCGCCCCUGCACUCUACCCGCCGCUCGGCCUCAACGGGCUCCCCCAGCUCGGCUACCAGGCCGCGGUGCUCAAGGAGGGCCUGCCGCAGGUCUACCAGCCCUAUCUCAACUACCUGAGGCCCGAUUCAGAAGCCAGCCAGAGCCCACAGUACAGCUUUGAGUCAUUACCUCAGAAGAUUUGUUUAAUCUGUGGGGAUGAAGCAUCAGGCUGUCAUUAUGGUGUCCUCACCUGUGGAAGCUGUAAGGUCUUCUUUAAAAGGGCAAUGGAAGGCCGAAAGUUUAAAAAGUUCAAUAAAGUUAGAGUUAUGAGAACACUAGAUGCUGUUGCCCUCCCACAGCCAGUGGGUAUUCCAAAUGAAAGCCAAGCCCUAAGCCAGAGAAUCACUUUUUCACCAAGCCAAGACUUGCAGUUGAUCCCCCCACUGAUCAACUUGCUCAUGAGCAUUGAACCAGAUAUGGUCUAUGCAGGACAUGACAACAGCAAACCUGAUACCUCCAGCUCUCUGCUGACAAGUCUGAAUCAGCUUGGCGAGAGACAGCUUCUCUCAGUGGUCAAGUGGUCUAAGUCACUGCCAGGUUUUCGGAACUUACAUAUUGAUGACCAAAUAACUCUCAUCCAGUAUUCUUGGAUGAGUUUAAUGGUAUUUGGACUAGGAUGGAGAUCUUAUAAGCAUGUCAGUGGACAGAUGCUAUAUUUUGCACCUGAUCUAAUACUAAAUGAAUCCCACAGGAGUUUGAGCUUCAAGUCAGCCAAGAAGAGUUCCUCUGUAUGA